rnacentral:rRNA from 1 species
UACGUAGGGUGCAAGCGUUAAUCGGAAUUACUGGGCGUAAAGCGUGCGCAGGCGGUUUUGUAAGUCUGACGUGAAAUCCCCGGGCUUAACCUGGGAAUUGCGUUGGAGACUGCAAGGCUGGAGUUUGGCAGAGGGGGGUAGAAUUCCACGUGUAGCAGUGAAAUGCGUAGAUAUGUGGAGGAACACCGAUGGCGAAGGCAGCCCCCCUGGGUCAAGACUGACGCUCAUGCACGAAAGCGUGGGGAGCAAACAGG